rnacentral:rRNA from 1 species
AACGAACGCUGGCGGCAUGCCUAACACAUGCAAGUCGAACGAGACCUUCGGGUCUAGUGGCGCACGGGUGCGUAACGCGUGGGAACCUGCCCUUAGGUUCGGAAUAACUCCCCGAAAGGGGUGCUAAUACCGGAUAAUGUCUUCGGACCAAAGAUUUAUCGCCUUUGGAUGGGCCCGCGUUGGAUUAGCUAGUUGGUAGGGUAAAAGCCUACCAAGGCGACGAUCCAUAGCUGGUCUGAGAGGAUGAUCAGCCACACUGGGACUGAGACACGGCCCAGACUCUGCGGGGAGGCAGAGGGGGGGAAUAUUGGAAAGGGGGAGAAAGCUUGCUACCGCACGGCCGGGUGAGUAAGAAGGCACUAGGGGUGGAAAACUUUUUUUCCCCGGGAGGAUAAUGACAGUACCGGAAAAAAAACCCCCGGCUACCUCCGUC